GAUGAACGCUGGCGGCGUGCCUAAUACAUGCAAGUCGAGCGAACAGACGAGGAGCUUGCUCCUCUGACGUUAGCGGCGGACGUGUGAGUAACACGUGGAUACCCUACCUAUAAGACUGGGAUAACUUCGGGAAACCGGAGCUAAUACCGGAUAAUAUAUUGAACCGCAUGGUUCAAUAGUGAAAGACGGUUUUGCUGUCACUUAUAGCUGGAUCCGCGCCGCAUUAGCUAGUUGGUAAGGUAACGGCUUACCAAGGCGACGAUGCGUAUCCGACCUGAGAGAGGGAUCGGCCACAUGAGAGGGUGAACGGCGACCAUACGACUGCGGGAGGGAGCAGUAGGGAACGGUCCGCAAUGGGGGGAAGCAUUACGGAGCGAGGGCAAGUGAGUGAUGAAGGUCCUGGGAUCGUAAAAACCUGUUUUUAGGGGAAAACAGAUUUGGAAGGAAAUGAGGCGGUAUUGACGGUACCUAAUCAAAAAGCCACGGCUAACUACGUG
rnacentral:rRNA from 1 species